rnacentral:tRNA from 1 species
UGUGAUAUGGAGCAGACGGUAGCUCAUUAGGCUCAUAACCUAAAGGUCAUAGGUUCAAGUCCUAUUAUCACUC